rnacentral:rRNA from 1 species
AUUGAACGCUGGCGGCAGGCCUAACACAUGCAAGUCGGGCGGAGCGGCGGACGGGUGAGUAAUGUCUGGGGAUCUGCCUGGUAGUGGGGGAUAACGUCCGGCAACGGGCGCUAAUACCGCAUACUAUCAGAUGAGCCUAGGUCGGAUUAGCUAGUUGGUGGGGUAAAGGCCUACCAAGGCGACGAUCCGUAACUGGUCUGAAAGGAUGAUGAGUCACACUGGAACUGAGGCACGGUCCAGACUCCUACGGGAGGCAGCAGUGGGGAAUAUUGGACAAUGGGCGAAAGCCUGAUCCAGCCAUGCCGCGGGUGUGAAGAAGGUCUUCGGAUUGUAAAGCACUUUAAGUUGGGAGGCGUUACCAACAGAAUAAGCACCGGCUAACUUCGUGCCAGCAGCCGCGGUAAUUC